CGUGGUUCCCUUUUGCACCGUCUCCGAUCAUGACGAUCGUAGUUGCCUCGUUGAAGCACCGAACGCCUCCUCUCCAUAGAUACGGCGCCUUUCUCUUGCGUUAAGUUUCUUGUCCUCUUCUUUUCUCUCCCUUCCCGGCGGCGGUUCGUUAGGGUUUGUUGCGACACCAAGAAGCUGCGUUCGUAGGAUGAUCACCCGAUCAUAGGCUCGUCUUUCCGCUCCAGCAUCCUCGUCAGGCAAAUCUCUGCAUUCACUUUGAUCUUUUCUUUACAUCUAAUCCAAAAAUCUGUUCGUUUUCUUACCAGUGAUUGGAUUUGUAAUAGUUCAUCCUAUGGUGUAAUGAUUCCAUCUCAAUACGUGGUUUAGAAAGAGAUUUCUAUUUGCAA